GAUUUGCAGAUUUUGAUGACAUGAGUUGUGAGAUGAUAUUUGGCCAAGAACCCCCACCAUCAACUGAUGACCCAGCAUUCAAGCAACCUUGUUAUAGACUAUGCAAGACAAAGCAAAACCAUGGAAUGAAUUGCCUCAGUUAAUGCAGCAGACAUGACAACAGGUAGCAGAGGUAGACCGAGUGGGUCUCAUGGUCGUGAUAGAGAGAGAGUUUCCACUGAAUCUCCUGCGACUGUUCAGUCCUCGCCUUUUACCUCGGCUGCCCUGUCGACCCCUGUGAUGUCACAGGCGGGUCUAGCAAACCAACAGUUCAUUAUGAUCCUAAACCCUAACUAAGUGUCUCUUUCUGCUACGCCCCCUGCAGAUCCAACGACAAAACCCGAGGUGGGUGAUUCCUCUAGUACCCCAGCAAGAGGCCCCUCCCCCACCGCCCGUCACCCGGGUGAGAAUUUGGCCUGAUGGCAUGCAGGCUGAUGCUUGCACACAAGAGAUCUCUGAGGUCAUUAAGUCGAUGUACGACCACCCGUGGCCGACCUACACGUAGAUCCCAGCUGAGACUAGAGAUCGAUGGUUUUAGAAGUGGGCGUUGAAAUUAAUAUGGGAUGCAUAGCAUAAUCUCAUUAUCAGGAAGAUCUAUGACCACUGGGCCGCUAAACGACUUCAGCAAAUGAUGAGUGACGUUCGUAAGAGGCGCGACCACCUAAUGUCGUGGAUCCGUCCAUCCAUCAAGAAGGAACCGGAGGCCUAUUUUAACAAUGAUGAGGGUUUCAAGCAUUACCGUCUGACGAAUGUCACUAACAGGGCUUCGCCCAAGUCGUCGAAGUAUACGGGUGGGUCGGCGACCUUGAUGAAGACGAAGAACAUACUGUCUAAGUCGUUGGACCGUGAGGCGACACUAGCAGAGACCUUCAAGUAUACUCAUACUUUGAAGGGCAACAAGGAGAGAUUUGAUGACAAGCAGUUUGCGGCCCAUUAUAGGAUUACACAUAGAGGUUGGAGGCCGCGACCCAUCAAUCUCAGCCGCCUAGUAAGAACGACGAAACCAGCUUCGAGACCUCAGUGGUAGAUCCUGAUCGGGUUUGGCGCGAGACCGCCUUUAAACCCUACAAGAAUUGCCACUUCGGGUUGGGGUUGUUCUUCGCCAGCGGCUCUGCUCCUCCGCGUUGGCGGCUUCCUCUACCUCUACCUCUGCCAUUAGCCCUGCCGAUCCCCAGAAAGUUGUCGACUUAAGAGAGAAGGUACAGAAGCUGACAUAAGAGCUUCACCAGCAAGCAGAGCAGUCUGAGUAGAGGUACAAUGACCUUCUUGCACACGUGGGAGGAGCCGUUGCCUUCAGUUCGGACCUGACAAAAAAGCUGGAGCAGUUAGAUCGGUUGUAAGAGCAGAUGGAGGUGUACAACCAGUAGAUGCACGCUGGAGCCAGGGGCGUUGGAGGCAGUGGCACUGCUGGUUCCAGCAGCAACACUGCUAGUGGGGCACCGACAUCAGCACCUACUUCGCCACCUCAGCAGAGGGACCACGAUAACAAUAAUGACGACGAUUAUCGGGAUCUGUAGGGUUUAGGGGUGGCAACAUGCACCCUACUCGCAGGUACCUAACCCGACCCUACCCGGUCGGGUAGGGUUGCCAACCCAAUCCGCAGCGGAUAAGGUAGGGUUCUCAUUCGGGUCGGGUACGGGUUAAGCCUCGACCUGCCCGACUAACCUGCAUCCUAUAUAUGUAUAUGUUAUAUACUUACAUAAAAAUAUGUUUCAAGUGGAUGUUAAACCAAAAACCUCUCACUAAAUGCAAAGGAUCCCUGGCCACUAAAAAAAGAUCAUUAAUUGAUAAUUUAAUAAUUUUUUUUACAUAAAAUUCAGUUCUAUUUUAAAUUAUCAUCAAUAAAUAUAUUGAUGUUGCAUCUUUUUUGUAACCCGCGUGUAGGGUCGGGUACCUACUGGUUAAGAAUGGGUAGGGUUAAGUUUGGGAUAUUCUCAACCCGCGGGUAGAGUAAGAUUGAGUUUAUAUAAAAAUCUUAACUCGCGAAUAGGAUUAGGAUUGGCUUUAAACCCUACCCUACCCUACCCAUUGUCACCCCUAGUAGGAGUUAGGGUAUUAUUUUUUUGUUUUUUACUUCAUUGUAUUUUAUU